UGGCACUGCAUCUCCGAACACCAUGG
rnacentral:piRNA from 1 species